UUUUAACCCACUAAGCCAUUUAUAAGAGUUGCCCCAAAAUAUUGUGAUGCUCCAUAAGGGCAAAAAUCAAAAUGGAUCGAAAUCUGUCAAAACAGCAAAUUCCUCGAGAAAUCAAAACGGAUCGGAAUCAAUACUAGAGAACAACGGUGGAUUAUUCUAUUAGCAAUCAAAUUUCAGUUAGUUUUGUUUCUCAUUUCUCUCUUUAGAUUUGUGGGUAUCUUUUUUUUUUUUUUAGCUCGUGUAGCAAAAAGUCAUUUAUUUCUUGUUUUGGAGCUAUUUCUUCCAUGUGAAACAAGUUCUUUGAAAAAUUGCAAGCAGAACUUCAAGUUGAAGAGGGUUUCAAUUAUCAAUUUUAUGAUUUAGGAGUGAUUGUCCACGGAGGUCGCAGCAAUUAUUGACGGGCAAUUUCACUUUAGGACAUCGUGCCGUCACGAAACUCGAUCAAACGAUAAGUUUUAUACUUCUGCAUUUUAUUGUUCUGAACAUUACUGCAACUAUUUAUUUUUCCAACAAUACUAACUAUGGAUUGAGGGCUAUCUAUUUGACAUAAAAAAUUUGAGUUUGUUUUGGGGUUUGUAUUGUUAAGUUGAUUUAUGGUUUUCCUUUUUUGAGUCAACUUCUUAUUAUUAAUUGGAACUACUUCUUCUCAAACAUUAAUUUUGGUAAGGCUACACGGAGAGUUCCACAGAGACUUCCUUUUAUGGGCUAGGCAAAUAAAUGUUUUUGUAGUUAUUAUAAGGAGACAAUUGAAUUAUUAUUCAAUAAAAAAUAUUGAAUGUUCAAUUUUAAUUAUUAAUGCACAAAAGUUGAAUUACUUGAAUUUUCUCAGUAA